rnacentral:rRNA from 1 species
AAUCAACGCUGGCGGCGUGCCUAACACAUGCAAGUCGAACGAGAAAGUGGAGCAAUCCAUGAGUACAGUGGCGCACGGGUGAGUAACACGUGACUAACCUACCCAGGAGUGGGGAAUAACUUCGGGAAACCGAGGCUAAUACCGCAUAACACCUACGGGUCAAAGGAGCAAUUCGCUUCUGGAGGGGGUCGCGGCCGAUUAGUUAGUUGGCAGGGUAAUGGCCUACCAAGACGAUGAUCGGUAUCCGGCCUGAGAGGGCGCACGGACACACUGGAACUGAAACACGGUCCAGACUCCUACGGGAGGCAGCAGUGGGGAAUUUUGCGCAAUGGGGGAACCCUGACGCAGCAACGCCGCGUGGAGGA